AUUGAACGCUGGCGGCAGGCUUAACACAUGCAAGUCGAGCGGAGAUGAGGUGCUUGCACCUUAUCUUAGCGGCGGACGGGUGAGUAAUGCUUAGGAAUCUGCCUAUUAGUGGGGGACAACAUUCCGAAAGGAAUGCUAAUACCGCAUACGUCCUACGGGAGAAAGCAGGGGAUCUUCGGACCUUGCGCUAAUAGAUGAGCCUAAGUCGGAUUAGCUAGUUGGUGGGGUAAAGGCCUACCAAGGCGACGAUCUGUAGCGGGUCUGAGAGGAUGAUCCGCCACACUGGGACUGAGAAACGGCCCAGACUCCUACGGGAGGCAGCAGUGGGGAAUGUUGGACAAUGGGGGGAACCCUGAUCCAGCCAUGCCGCGUGUGUGAAGAAGGCCUUAUGGUUGUAAGGCACUUUAAGCGAGGAGGAGGCUACUGAGACUAAUACUCUUGGAUAGUGGACGUUACUCGCAGAAUAAGCACCGGCUAACUCUGUGCCAGCCGCCGCAGUAA
rnacentral:rRNA from 1 species